GCCAUGCCGCGUGUGGAAGAAGGCCUUAUGGUUGUAAAGCACUUUAAGCGAGGAGGAGGCUUACCUAACUAAUACUUAGGAUAAGUGGACGUUACUCGCAGAAUAAGCACCGGCUAACUCUGUGCCAGA
rnacentral:rRNA from 1 species